rnacentral:hammerhead_ribozyme from 15 species
CAGACGUCUAAGGUAGGCCACUACAAUGCCUUACUGAUGAGUCCAGUAGUGGAAGUUCGGACGAAACGCCAU